AGGAUGAACGCUGGCGGUCUGCUUAACACAUGCAAGUCGAACGGAGUAGCAAUACUUAGUGGCGGACGGGUGAGUAACGCGUGAGAAUCUACCUUCAGGACGGAGACAACAGUUGGAAACGACUGCUAACCCCCGAUGUACCGAAAGGGCAAAUAUUUAUAGCCUGAAGAAGAGCUCGCGUCCGAUUAGCUAGUUGGAGAGGUAAAAGCUCACCAAGGCGACGAUCGGUAGCUGGUCUGAGAGGACGAUCAGCCACACUGGGACUGAGACACGGCCCAGACUCCUACGGGAGGCAGCAGUGGGGAAUUUUCGCAAUGGGCGAAAGCCUGACGGAGCAAGACCGCGUGGGGGAAGAAGGCUCUUGGGUUGUAAACCCCUUUUCUCUGGGAAGAACGCAAUGACGGUACCAGAGGAAUCAGCAUCGGCUAACUCCGUGCCAGCAGCCGC
rnacentral:rRNA from 1 species